rnacentral:rRNA from 1 species
CCUACGGGGGGCAGCAGUGAGGAAUAUUGGUCAAUGGACGAGAGUCUGAACCAGCCAAGUAGCGUGAAGGAUGACUGCCCUAUGGGUUGUAAACUUCUUUUAUAUGGGAAUAAAAUGUUCCACGUGUGGGAGUUUGUAUGUACCAUAUGAAUAAGGAUCGGCUAACUCCGUGCCAGCAGCCGCGGUAAUACGGAGGAUCCGAGCGUUAUCCGGAUUUAUUGGGUUUAAAGGGAGCGUAGGUGGAUUGUUAAGUCAGUUGUGAAAGUUCGCGGCUCAACCGCAAAAUUGCAGUUGAAACUGGCAGUCUAGAGUGCAGUAGAGGUAAGCGGAAUUCGUGGUGUAGCGGUGAAAUGCGUAGAUAUCACGAAGAACUCCGGUUGCGAAGGCAGCUUACUGGACCGCAACUGACGUUGAGGCUCGAAAGCGUGGGUAGCAAACAGGAUUAGAUACCCGAGUAGUC